rnacentral:rRNA from 1 species
AUGACCGCGCGGCUUAGUGAUUUUGGCUCAGCAAAGUUUUUGUCACCGGAUAUGUUUAUUCCUGAAAGCCUGGAUGAUGUUGGAGGAACAGUUGGGUACAUGGCACCUGAGUACGGGAUGGGUUACGAGAUCUCCGUAGGAGCUGAUGCAUAUAGUUUUGGAGUGCUUCUGCUGGAGUUGCUUACCGGAAAACGACCAACCGAUGAUAUGUUCAUUGAUGGGCUUACCCUUCCCAUUUUCUCUGAAUCCAUGUUCCCUGAUAGAGUUGCGGAGACUCUAGAUCCUCGUAUGGCGCAUGAGGAAUAUCAAGGGUCCGCAGAAGUAUGGAUGCAGAGAUAUAUUGUCCUGUUGGUUGCCCUUGGACUGUCGUGUACCGUGGAGGCUCCGAAGGACAGGCCUGGAAUGAAAGAUGUUUGUGCAAAACUUACUGCUAUCAGAGACGCUUUUCUGGAAUGCCGUGAUGACAUUGACGAAUAUUUUAGCGCUGUUAGAGGAUGCUGA